rnacentral:rRNA from 1 species
GACGAACGCUGGCGGCGUGCCUAAUACAUGCAAGUCGAGCGAAGUUUUUCUGGUGCUUGCACUAGAAAAACUUAGCGGCGAACGGGUGAGUAACACGUAAAGAACCUGCCUCUUAGACUGGGUCAACUAUUGGAAACGAUAGCUAAUACCGGAUAACAGUAUUUCUCGCAUGAGAGAUAUUUAAAAGUUGGUUAUGCUAACACUAUGAGAUGGCUUUGCGGUGCAUUAGCUAGUUGGUGGGGUAAAGGCCCACCAAGGCGACGAUGCAUAGCCGACCUGAGAGGGUGAUCGGCCACACUGGGGCUGAGACACGGCCCAGACUCCUACGGGAGGCAGCAGUAGGGAAUCUUCCGCAAUGGGCGAAAGCCUGACGGAGCAACGCCGCGUGAGUGAAGAAGGAUUUCGGUUCGUAAAGCUCUGUUGUUAGGGAAGAAUGGAUAUGUAGUAACUAUACAUGUAAGAGACGGUACCUAACCAGAAAGCCACGGCUAACUACGUG